GGGUCAGUAGGUUGGUCGUGCCACCGGUACGUACUGGUCUCACUGAUUCCUCCUUCCUGAAGAACCGUAAUGCCAUUAAUUUGGUGUUGCGGGGAAGCGGGACUGUUACUUUGAAAAAAUUAGAGUGUUUAAAGCAAGCUAACGCUUGAAUACAUUAGCAUGGAAUAAUGAAAUAGGACGAUCGAUCCUAUUUUGUUGGUUUCUAGGAUUGACGUA
rnacentral:rRNA from 1 species